CACUGGAAGCUUUGUUCUUUUGCUCUUCACAAUAAAUCUUGCUGCUGCUCAUAGAAAGAUGCAAGCUAGUGCUAGCGAGACAGCCUGCAAAACCCCUGUGUUGUUUUGGGCUGUUAACCAUAGUCUGAGUGGCUUAGACAACAAACAUUUAUUUCUCACAGUUCUAGAGGCUAGAAGUCCAAGAGCAGAUGCCAGCAGACCUGUCUGGGGAAGGCCUGCUUCUUGGCCUGGAGACAGCCGCUUGCUCACUAUGUCUUCACAGGGCAGAGUGAACCCUGGUCUGUUUCUCUUACAAGGACACUCAUCCCACUGUGGGCCUCCACCUUUGUGAUUUCAUCUAUACCUAAAAGGCCCCACUUCCUAGUAUUCCGCCGGGGGUUCAGGCUUCAAAGAUGAAUACUGGGGGCGACACAAACGGAGCCCAUAACCUCAUGCCGCCUGACUCCUGAGGCUGUAUUCGUGAUGAACGUGUGGCUGCCCAAGUUUUGUUUUGCUCAGGCAGGAUCAGCACACACCCAGCCACAGACAGGGAAGCCCAGAGCAGGGCAGAAUAUGGUCCCUCAAGUGAAUAAUUGGCCCAGGGAUACAGAAUUAGGUGAUUCUAGCAAAUCCAGACAUUUUCUAGGGUGCCAGUGAAUUUUGGGUCUGUCCCUGUUAGCUGUUCUUGAGAUUUUGCACUCAACUUGCGAUGGUUAAUACGGAGUGUCAACUUGAUUGGAUUGAAGGAUGCAAAGUAUUGUUUCUGGGUGUGUCUGUGAGGGUGUUGCCAAAGGAGAUUAACAUUUGUGUCAGUGGGCUGGGAAAGGCAGACCCACCCUCAAUCUGGGUGGGCACCAUCUAAUCAGCUGCCAGCGUGGCCGGAAUAAAAGCAGGCAGGAGAAUGUGGAAAGACUAGACUAGUCUUGUGGCCUCCAUCUUUCUCCUGUGCUGGAUGCUUCCUGCCCUUGAACAUCGGACUCCAAGUUCUUCCGUUUUGGGACUUGGAUUAGCUUCCUUGCUCCUCAGCCUGCAGACGGCCUACUGUGGGACCCCUUCUUACUGAAAGCCUCCCUGUAAGGUGCUGAUUGCCUUCCAGAUCUGAGGACCCCGUCUCUGCCUCAUUCCUCCUGUUUCCAUCAGAAGACACAGGUCUGGGACUCAGCGCAGCUGACCUGUCUGUCCCUCUCUGCACAGUUUACUCCUGGGCUCUGCAGAGAGAAGUCAGUGCCUCAAUUUUCCAUUGAAAUAUGCACCCUUGGCAUCCUGGCAGGUGAGCGGCGCCCCCUUAGGGCUAAUACAGUGACAUAAAAUGUGUCAUAUUUUUGGCUGUGUGGUGGCUCAUGCCUGUGAUCCCCACACUUUGGGUGGCUGAGGCAGGC
rnacentral:lncRNA from 1 species